GAUGAACGCUGGCGGCGUGCCUAAUACAUGCAAGUCGAGCGAACAGACGAGGAGCUUGCUCCUUUGACGUUAGCGGCGGACGGGUGAGUAACACGUGGGUAACCUACCUAUAAGACUGGGAUAACUUCGGGAAACCGGAGCUAAUACCGGAUAAUAUUUCGAACCGCAUGGUUCGAUAGUGAAAGAUGGCUCUGCUAUCACUUAUAGAUGGACCUGCGCCGUAUUAUCUAGUUGGUAAGGUAACGGCUUACCAAGGCAACGAUACGUAGCCGACCUGAGAGGGUGAUCGGACACACUGGAACUGAGACACGCUCCAGACUCCUACGGGAGGCAGCAGUAGGGAAUCUUCCGCAAUGGGCGAAAGCCUGACGGAGCAACGCCGAGUGAGUGAUGAAGGUCUUCGGAUCGUAAAACUCUGUUAUUAGUGAAGAACAAACGUGUAAGUAACUGUGCACGUCUUGACGGUACCUAAUCAGAAAGCCACGGCUAACUACGUG
rnacentral:rRNA from 1 species